rnacentral:lncRNA from 1 species
UGUUCGUUGACCAUGUUGCUGCUGGCGACAUCCAGAUCCUCUGGCAUCACCACGGCGCUGUUCCAGUUCUAAUGACGUCAUCGUGAACAGUUCUGGGAUAUAACGCACCACUUCUCACUUCGUCAAUGUUAGACGCCGCUGGUGGUCCGUCUGAGAGAGAGAGAGAGAGAGGAAACAAACAACGCCUCAGCUGGUUUAUUGGACUUUCGGGGUGGCUUAGAGAGAGUGGAAGGAGAAGGAGACAGGGGAACAUUGACCGAAUGAGUCUCUAGUCUUCAUUCAAGACGCGGUAGUGUGUUCAAUGGAGGACUCAAAGAACCGCAGGAGUGACUAUGAGGUGAGUUCUUUUUCGGUACAUUUGGGAAGAGUCUCCUGGUCUAUCGGUUUUCAUGGUUAAAUAAAUUCAGUGUCAAUUGUUACCUCACAGCUGUAGAGUUACAGGUUCAUUGAAUCGUUUCCCCGACCUCAGUACCGCUGCAACGUAUAUUUGGGGAAUCAAGCGCGAACUGUCGAGUGUCGACCCCAUUGGAGUUGAACCGUCAUGUUUGCCCGCUGUAACAUUUCUCCCGUCUGUGUGAUUUGUAAGGUUCAAAUGACUCAGACUGUGAGCUGACGAGCCGCCUUACCAGAAGGAAACCACCCGAUCGUCGUCACUCUGCAGUGUCCGCCAGAGAGCUGCUCCUGAGAGCUGCAGUAUCCGCCAGAGAGCUGCUGCUCCUGAGAGCUGCAGUGUCCGCCAGAGAGCUGCUGCUCCUGAGAGCUGCAGUGUCCGCCAGAGAGCUGCUCCUGAGGGCUGAGAGCAGCUGCAGUAUCCGCCAGAGAGCUGCAGUAUCCGCCAGAGAGCUGCUGCUCCUGAGAGCUGCAGUGUCCGCCAGAGAGCUGCUCUUUAGAGCGGAGUCCCGCGAUUGCGCCUCUCCUGGUUCCGCAGGCGGAGGUGGCGCCCCUUCUGGUCCAGUCCGGAGUGCGGAUCGACCUACAGAACAAGGCGGAGCGCUCGCCGCUGCAGAUGGCGCCACCGGGGCUGGCCAGCGCCCUCCAGCCGCCCUCGGUGGAGCUCACCGCCGCGCUGGCGCAGACAUAGAUGGCAGCACCGUUAACUUAUGGCCGGCGCCAAAGCACUUGAACCGUCUGGCGGCGUUUUAUGAAUUUACAGCCAGAUUUACCAACAGAAGUGUACGCCUAACCAAGGCUCUAUAGAACGCCUUACCUAGGCUCUUCCCUGCGGUUCCGAACACUGCGUACCUAAAGGUGUCUCUAUUGAUCUUAUCAGCCGGGUGACGAGUUAUUUGCGGACAACUAAUAAUUCCGUGGCGCUUUGUGGGAUAAAUAAGGACAUCGACAUAAAGUUGAUGUUUUUAUGACUGUAAGAGCAGCAAUGGCAGUGACAGUGACAGUGAUGAUUGUAAAGGGAUGGAAGAUUGAUACGGUAACCCUCGUUAGAGCCACUAUAGUCAUACUGGCUCAUCACUGAUGUUUUAAAAUGGAUGGAUGAGAGUCGUGCAUUAUGCAUUGUGCAGUGCGUUGAGAACAAUCAUCGGUGAGUUAUGAGCUGUGAGUUAUCUUUUGGAGCUGGGAGACUGCGUCAGUGACGUUCCAUUGUGCGAUUUGUCAGAACUCAGAGUGUCAUGAAUUAAGAGGCAGUGGGAGGAGAGAGGAGAGAGAAAGAGAGAGAGAGAGAGAGAGAGAGAGAGAGAGAGAGAGAGAGAGAGAGAGAGAGAAAGAGAGAGAGAGAGAGAGAGAGAGAGAGAGAGA